GGAAUUUUCCGCAAUGGGCGAAAGCCUGACGCAGCAACGCCGCGUGAGGGAUGAAGGCCUUCGGGUCGUAAACCUCUGUCGGGAGGGAAGAAUGGUCUGACGGUACCUCUAAAGGAAGCACCGGCUAACUCCGUGCCAGCAGCCGCGGUAAUACGGAGGGUGCAAGCGUUGUUCGGAAUUAUUGGGCGUAAAGCGCGUGUAGGCGGCUUGGUAAGUCGGGUGUGAAAGCCCGGGGCUCAACCCCGGAACUGCACUCGAAACUGCCUCGCUAGAGUCCCGGAGAGGAAGGCGGAAUUCCCGGUGUAGAGGUGAAAUUCGUAGAUAUCGGGAGGAACACCAGUGGCGAAGGCGGCCUUCUGGACGGUGACUGACGCUGAGACGCGAAAGCGUGGGGAGCAAACAGGAUUAGAUACCCCCGUAGUC
rnacentral:rRNA from 1 species